GUCCACGCCGUAACGAUGAGUGCUGGAUGUCGGGUAUUCACCCUCGGUAUCGAAGCCAACGCGUUAAGCACUCCGCCUGGGAGUACGGCCGCAAGGUUGAAACUCAAAGGAAUUGACGGGCCCGCACAAGCGGUGGAGUAUGUGGUUUAAUUCGACGCAACGCGCAGAACCUUACCCAGCCUUGACAUCCUCGGAACCUGAUGGAAACAUUGGGGUGCCUUCGCAAGAAGGAGCCGGGAGACAGGUGCUGCAUGGCUGUCGU
rnacentral:rRNA from 1 species